rnacentral:rRNA from 1 species
GAUGAACGCUAGCGGGAGGCCUAAUACAUGCAAGUCGAGCGGUAUAGAGACUUCGGUUUCUAGAGAGCGGCGCACGGGUGAGUAACGCGUACAUGACCUACCUUCAAGCCUGGGAUAGCCCUGGGAAACUGGGAUUAAUACCGGAUGUGAUAAUAAGUUUGGAUAUUUAUUAUUAAAGUUACGGCGCUUGGAGAUGGGUGUGCGUCUGAUUAGCUAGUUGGCGAGGUAACGGCUCACCAAGGCGACGAUCAGUAGGGGGCGUGAGAGCGUGACCCCCCACACGGGUACUGAGACACGGACCCGACUCCUACGGGAGGCAGCAGUAAGGAAUAUUGGUCAAUGGGCGAAAGCCUGAACCAGCCAUCCCGCGUGCAGGAUGAAGGUCCUAUGGAUUGUAAACUGCUUUUUAUCAGGGAAGAAACGCCUUCAUUCAUGAGGGUCUGACGGUACCUGAGGAAUAAGCACCGGCUAACUCCGUGCCAGCAGCCGCGGU